rnacentral:rRNA from 1 species
UGCAACCCGGCUCCGUGAAGCUGGAUUCGCUAGUAAUCGCGCAUCAGCCAUGGCGCGGUGAAUACGUUCCCGGGCCUUGUACACACCGCCCGUCAAGCCAUGGGAGCCGGGGGCGCCUGAAGUGCGGUACCGCGAGGGCCGCCCAAGGGCGAGACCGGUGACUGGGGCUAAGUCGUAACAAGGUACC